rnacentral:rRNA from 1 species
GGACUACUCGGGUAUCUAAUCCUGUUUGCUCCCCACGCUUUCGCGCCUCAGCGUCAGUAUCUGUCCAGACAGUCGCCUUCGCCACUGGUGUUCCUUCCGAUCUCUACGCAUUUCACCGCUACACCGGAAAUUCCACUAUCCUCUACAGUACUCCAGCCACACAGUCUGAUAUGCAGUUCCCAGGUUAAGCCCGGGGAUUUCACAUCUCACUUACAUGGCCGCCUACGCGCCCUUUACGCCCAGUAAUUCCGAUUAACGCUCGCACCCUCUGUAUUACCGCGGCUGCUGGCAC